rnacentral:lncRNA from 1 species
AUCCUUUUUAUUAGAAUUUUUUCAUAAAUUACAAGCAUUUCACCUCAGAAUAAUUAAAUAUUAUAUUAAGAUAACAUCAUAAUUUCUAUUGGUUUUUUACCAUGUAUAUAAGGAAGAACACGAAUGAAAAAGAGAACGGGAACAUUAGCCUCAAAUUUACACAUUUAUAAUCAAAAGUAAAAAUUAUAAACCUUGAUUUUUAGGUUGUUUUAUCCAUAGACAAAUAUAGUUUCUCGUUUGGUACCCUCCAAUAUCUUAGCAUUAGUAUUCUUUCUUGAAUUU